CGUGACCCUAGGUCAGGUGGGGUUAGUCGCUAAGUUUAA
rnacentral:rRNA from 1 species